rnacentral:rRNA from 2 species
AUGGCUCAGAUUGAACGCUGGCGGCAGGCCUAACACAUGCAAGUCGAGCGGCAGCACGGGUACUUGUACCUGGUGGCGAGCGGCGGACGGGUGAGUAAUGCCUAGGAAUCUGCCUGGUAGUGGGGGAUAACGUUCGGAAACGAACGCUAAUACCGCAUACGUCCUACGGGAGAAAGCAGGGGACCUUCGGGCCUUGCGCUAUCAGAUGAGCCUAGGUCGGAUUAGCUAGUUGGUGAGGUAAUGGCUCACCAAGGCGACGAUCCGUAACUGGUCUGAGAGGAUGAUCAGUCACACUGGAACUGAGACACGGUCCAGACUCCUACGGGAGGCAGCAGUGGGGAAUAUUGGACAAUGGGCGAAAGCCUGAUCCAGCCAUGCCGCGUGUGUGAAGAAGGUCUUCGGAUUGUAAAGCACUUUAAGUUGGGAGGAAGGGCAGUUACCUAAUACGUAAUUGUUUUGACGUUACCGACAGAAUAAGCACCGGCUAACUCUGUGCCAGCAGCCGCGGUAAUACAGAGGGUGCAAGCGUUAAUCGGAAUUACUGGGCGUAAAGCGCGCGUAGGUGGUUCGUUAAGUUGGAUGUGAAAUCCCCGGGCUCAACCUGGGAACUGCAUUCAAAACUGUCGAGCUAGAGUAUGGUAGAGGGUGGUGGAAUUUCCUGUGUAGCGGUGAAAUGCGUAGAUAUAGGAAGGAACACCAGUGGCGAAGGCGACCACCUG